AAACGGAGUGUAGUUCUUUAAUCUGAGACGGUUUGGAAUCAUCAAUCAUCAUUCCUUGACACCCGCAGCUGUCUCCUUUCUCCUGCUUUCUCCAACACACCAACAGCCUCUCUCUGUCCUGCUCUCCUCUGUCUCCUCCAUCCUGAUCUCCAGUGCAGCAGCAGUGCCAUCCAUGUCACCCCCAGCAGCAGCACUGGCAUUCAUGCCCUCAGUAGCACCCAGGACAGAAAAACACAACAUUUAAAUUAAACUGUUAAAAAACUCUGUUAAGCUAUUGCCAUUCCACCAAGAACUAAGUGAUUGCUGUGAGUUAUUCAGCCAGUGGAAUGUGCUGUGUGUGUGUAUGUGUGUGUGUGUGUGUGGG